GGUGAAACGGGGCCGGGAAUGGGCGCCUUUAAAAGCGUACGGAAACACAGAGCCCUUGAACCAAAUCCGUGGACGGAGGCGUGUGCUGGGCGCUGGGCUCGUGCAGGCUGCUGUUUCGAAAGAAGGGAGGGCCCUUGGGAUGAUGACAGGAGCUUAGCAGUGUGUCUGUGCACACCUGUUUGCAUCCAGCCUGUGUACGUGCAGCCCGACCGAGGCGACGUGGAGAGCAGCGUGCGCUGCGGGCCGCGUUUCUGUUGGAGUGAAGCAGCAGAUGAUGUAACGACGUACAGAGGAUGGUAAACCUGCACGUUUUAGACUAUACGUUUAAGUCAUCUGUGUCAUCAUCUGACAUCAGCAUUGCAUAAUCUGUUGACUGUCCCCUUUUUAUGUAAUGUAUGUCUGUAGUUUGUUUUAAAAUGUACAAAUAUUUUUUUCCACUG
rnacentral:lncRNA from 1 species